GGUGAACGCUGGCGGCGUGCUUAACACAUGCAAGUCGAACGGGAAACCUUUUAAUGAAGCUUCGGCAGAUUUAGCUGGUUUCUAGUGGCGGACGGGUGAGUAACGCGUGGGUAACCUGCCUUAUACAGGGGGAUAACAGUCAGAAAUGACUGCUAAUACCGCAUAAGCGCACAGGACCGCAUGGUCCGGUGUGAAAAACUCCGGUGGUAUAAGAUGGACCCGCGUUGGAUUAGCUUGUUGGUGGGGUAACGGCUCACCAAGGCGACGAUCCAUAGCCGGCCUGAGAGGGUGAACGGCCACAUUGGGACUGAGACACGGCCCAGACUCCUACGGGAGGCAGCAGUGGGGAAUAUUGCACAAUGGGGGAAACCCUGAUGCAGCGACGCCGCGUGAAGGAAGAAGUAUCUCGGUAUGUAAACUUCUAUCAGCAGGGAAGAUAGUGACGGUACCUGACUAAGAAGCCCCGGCUAACUACGUG
rnacentral:rRNA from 1 species